rnacentral:tRNA from 1 species
UUACAAGAAUUGAUUAAUCAUAUAUGAUUUCGACUCAUACUUAGGUGCAAUGCACCCUUGUAGU